rnacentral:rRNA from 1 species
GUUCCCAUUCCGAACACAGAAGUUAAGCCCCAGCACGUCGAUGGUACUUGGCUGGCGACGGCCCGGGAGAGUAGAUCGCUGCCGCAU